GUUAUUUCUGCAGAAUAAUUAAGCAUGUCUACCACAUAAUUCCAGACAAUAUAUGCCCAUAAUGUUCCAUAAUUCUGCAGGUCUUCCGCAUAUGCUUGCGUGUGAAACGUGUGCCAGAACCACGGCGUAAGAACGUAUUGUUUUUACACCGUGGGCAGAGCUGUGAUGCAACAAGUGGUGCCACUCAACGGUUACUUCGGCUUCAGGGAACAAUGUAUAAGGCCAAGUCGUCCCAAAAAAAAUACCUAGAACGUUUAGCCGCUCUUUAGCAUAGGUUAGAAAGCCAGGUGGGUUAAGAUACACGCUACUUUUGCGACACAAUGUGACUGUCUGUGUGGUUGAGUAUUUGUCCACUUAUAUGAAGGAAAGAUGAGUGUAGAGAAAAGUAUCAUUCAGUUACUACAAAUUUAAACAUACUGUGCGUAUUCCUUUGCAACGUUUUAAGGCAUACCAAUAAGUAUUGUUUCACUUAUGCCCUUCACUUACUGUAUCAAUGAAUAGGCUUUGGAAGACAUGAAGGCUGCUUGUCUUAAUGGCACCGCUGUACAUGGUGCCAGUAAAGCAAGCAGCUCACUGGCGCCAUGUACUCCGCAUAUUAAUUUGUCAGCGAUCAGUGCUACUUGCGCAUACCGCCCAACUAUAUGCAUCGCAUCGUACUUGCAGUCCCAAGACACUUGACAGAAUUGUGGCUCUUCUGACACAGGGACACAAUGUUACGGUGGCACGCCCUCUACUAUGAGGGUUAUCAAUGAAUGGCUUGGUGUUAUAAGAAUUGCAGCAAAGCCUUCUUUGCCUACCCUCUUGAGUUUUGUACUUAACUUGUUCCUUUCAUAUUUAUUUGACAGAAGUAGUCGAGUACCCUGUAAGCACCACAGCUCCGCCCAACAGAACUAAAGAAGGGACGACUCGAGACUUGGCUGUAGCGCACAGAACUGGAGUGAAUGCUGUGGUAGUGAAGCCGCCGUCCCCAUUAAUUAAUUUGGCGGGAUUUGAUAUUGUGUGAAGCUUCACACCUGACUACAUGCAUUGUAUUUUGCUCGGCGUCACACGCCAGCUUAUGGAGUUCUGGUUAUCUGGUGUUGGGGCUCCAAUUACAUAGGAUCACAUUUCAUUAAGAGAAUUGGUGAAAGGCUAUGUGCCAUAAGCCCACCUCAGUGCAUCACACGCCUGCCGAGAUCUGUGCAAUUGAGAAUUGUUUUGGCAGGCAAGUAAGUCGCAGAAGUGGCUGUUAUACUUCAGCUUCGUUUGUAUUAAUGGAAUGUUGCCUGGCAAGUACCAGAAGCACUUCAGCCUGCUGGUGGAAACAGUGUACCUCAUACUUGGAGAAACUAUCCAAAGACAAAAGUGAUAGUACCGAGUGCCUUGUACAAUUUGUCGUUCAGUUCCUUCAUUCCAAAAAGGAAAUGACUUCAAAUGUGCCUUCAUUGUUGCACCUUCCAAGAAGUGCUACAAUGCAAUGGCCACUUUGGGCACAUUUU
rnacentral:lncRNA from 1 species